GUGCCUUGCCUAACAUAUCCUUCCAUCUGAUCAUCCAUUCAGAAGAAGAAGGGGCACCAGCACCGUGAGCGAAAACGACGACAGGGGACAAUCGAUUAACGGAGGAAGAGGUUGCAGUUGAAAGUAAGGUCUCAAAGGCAUCAUCAAAAGUGAGGUUUUUACGACGGCGUUUAGAAGGAGGUGAGGAAGCCAUUGCUGAAACCUAAUCCCAAC
rnacentral:misc_RNA from 1 species